rnacentral:lncRNA from 1 species
ACCAAUAGACUUACAAAGAGAAAUCCCCAAAUCGUCCCAAAACCACGAUUUCGUCAUUCUUGAUAGGUGGGGUGGAGGGCUGGAGACUGUUGAGAAGGUGUUGGUGUUAUACUGUUAUUUCCUCAGUAUCCUGAACUGUAGGUGGUGCUAGAAGGCUCGAGACAGUCGGUGCACGAUGAUGCUUGUGCCUUUGCUCGUGCUUCCUUUUCUUGUGCAUGCCAGUUACUGGUGCAGGUGAGAAAACCAAAUCAGGUGCUGGGGCUGGUGAUGCAAUAGGUGGUGGUGGUGUAGCUGGCACCAGUACUGGUGGUGCGUUGGUGGUGUAAUUGGUGGAGGUGUUAUGGCAAUGCUGGUGGCUGGGAUGGACUUCCUACUGGAUUUGGCGGAGGUGGUGGUGGUGGGACUUGAGUUGCUGAUUGGUUGGCUUUGAAGUUGGUGCAACUGUAGGUGGUGAUGACGUUACAGGGGUGGUUGACGGAGUCGUUGCACUUGAAGCCGGUUGUGUUGCUUUUUUAGUAAAAUAUUCGUGUCUUAUAGUCAUUUAAUUGUUAAAAAUUCUACGUAUUCUGUCUUU